CCCUAGGUAGUGCAAACAGUUACCAUGCUCGGCUGUUAACCAAAAAGUUGGUGGUUCAAGUCCACCCAGAGGCA
rnacentral:tRNA from 1 species